CAAGAAUAAGCACCAKCAAGGAGUUACAACUUAGUUAGUUGAAGGAAAACUAUUUUUUAGUAAGAAAACAAUUCUCCAGCACAGAGCUCGUUUGUGAAGAUACAGACUGAGGCGAAAAGAAAGUUUCUAACAUGGUUCUUGUCAAGGUGUUUCUCUUAACUCUGCUUUCGUGCCUUGCGGUUCAUGGAUUUCAAGACCUUGAUGUUGAACAAGAUGAUUCUUGUACAAAUAGGGAACGUAAAAUACAAAACUGCGAAUUUUGGGCUCUCAAAGGCUGGUGCCGACCAGGACACGAUGUAAGCUUCGCCACAAGAAAGCUUUGCAAGAGAACAUGCGGGCUCUGUAACGGUGCCAUUGGUUGUGUUGAUGAAUAUGAUAAAUGCAACGUUUACCCGAAAAGCGAUUGCAAUGACAACAACGAUUUCAUGAAAACAAAUUGCCGGGCGACAUGUGGCUUUUGUUGAGAACAUCGAUGCAUCCUGCGUACGUGGUACGACCUUUUAACUCUGAUGGCAACCGACGCUUUCGUGGAUUCUUGAUUUAAAGCUUUCAAAAACAGAAAUAAAUAAAUCUAAACUCAAGAUUUUUAA